AAUAUCCUACGGGAGGCAGCAGUGAGGAAUAUUGGUCAAUGGGCGGUAGCCUGAACCAGCCACGUAGCGUGAAGGAUGAAGGCUCUAUGGAUUGUAAACUUCUUUUAUAAAGGAAUAAAGUGAGGCACGUGCGCCUUUUUGUAUGUACUUUAUGGAUAAGGAUCGGCUAACUCCGUGCCAGCAGCCGCGGUAAUACGGAGGAUCCGAGCGUUAUCCGGAUUUAUUGGGUUUAAAGGGAGCGUAGAUGGGUUGUUAAGUCAGUUGUGAAAGUUUGCGGCUCAACCGUAAAAUUGCAAUUGAUACUG
rnacentral:rRNA from 1 species